AUGACCCUGAUGGUGUUUCCAGUUUUGAUAAAGAGUUCUAUUGCAGUUAUUGAUUAACUGAACAAAUUCAGUUGAUAAUUAUAGUGACCUGGUUUCAAGCAGUAAUAUCUUCCAUUGGAAAUAUGUGAUUUCAUCAGCUUCUUACAUUCCAGGGGAGAAAAGCAUGUAGAGUCCAUGAAGCACAGGAAAAUAAAACUUCCUACUCAUACC